rnacentral:ncRNA from 1 species
UGAAAACAGAUGCAAAAGACACGCUUUGUUUACCAUGGAUUGCAGAGACCAAGACCUUGUUCUGGAAGUCUUGGACCGGGUUUACGAAGAUACCACUUUUGUGAACAUGCUCAAUUGAGCCGGAACGCUUCCGUUAUUAGCGCUAAUGAGUCAGUGUCUUUGAUGACACUGAAAAAUCGGGUGGAACCACGUCAAUGACGUCCCUAAU